GCCUACGGGGGGCAGCAGUGAGGAAUAUUGGUCAAUGGGCUUACGCCUGAACCAGCCAAGUCGCGUGAGGGAAGACUGCCCUAUGGGUUGUAAACCUCUUUUGUCAGGGAGCAACGCCGGCUACGUGUAGCCGGACUGAGAGUACCUGAAGAAAAAGCAUCGGCUAACUCCGUGCCAGCAGCCGCGGUAAUACGGAGGAUGCGAGCGUUAUCCGGAUUUAUUGGGUUUAAAGGGUGCGUAGGCGGAUCGUUAAGUCAGUGGUCAAAUUGAGGGGCUCAACCCCUUCCCGCCAUUGAAACUGGCGC
rnacentral:rRNA from 1 species